GUUCGAGGCGAAUUCAAUACAUGUGAGAACUUGACACAAAUUGCAUUAAUUAAUUAAAACAAAGAAGCAGACAACAUGUAAACUGAGGAAUACUGGUAAAACUGUAUCGUUUCAUUAUCACAAGAUUUCUAAUACUAAUUUGUUUCUUUUCUUCUUUCUUUCAGCUAUUUGAGUUUGGGAAAGGUUGUGGCUUAACUCCACCACAUGACUCUAGGCCCUUCCCAGGUUGGUGUUUCCACUGCGAGCUGACCACUCGCAUACUCUUAUGGUGGAACCCUAAUCAAAUAGGCCAAUGAGCCAAAUUACAUCUCUGUAGUUAGAAACUAAUAAACUAACUUAAACAAAAUAAAAACUACUAACCUUAGUUUACUAACAAGCAACAUGAAAUUAUUAGGGUACGCCCACGAGCAAGGCAGUCAGGACUGCUGGGCAGCAGAUAUUGUACCCCCUCAAAAAGGCACAUUGUAGGUACCCCCACGCAAAAUUUUUUUUUCAAAUCCCCAUAGGAGUAGUGUCAAGGGGGUAUAAUUAAGGAGCACUGCAACAAACAAACCCAUAUAAUUAUUAACAAUUUCACUAAAUUCAACCCAACACUUGCUGUUUCUUUGUACAAUGACCCUCGAUUUUCGCACACACACAACAACAGAUUUUUUUUGGCAAAUAAAAAAUGCAGAAAACAGUUUGGCGCGAAAAAUUCUAGCAGAAUUUCUUUUCGCAGUCGGCAGAAUUGACAUCAACUGCACUUCCCAUUUGAAAUACACAUGUUCGAUACCCUAGCCCUUUACGGUAUGACAUACCAGCAAUGUAAAAAGGUGUAGCUCCGUUGACGUCAACGAAGCUGGUUUGAAGUCAAAGCAGCGACCCGAAUUGGGCGCGAAAACACGAAAUAUCUGAGGCGAAGCAUAUACAUCGAACGUUUAGCAAAGUUCUACACCGGCCAAAUUUCAAUGAGCGGCUUAUUAUUAAAUAAAAGAAAACUUGC